rnacentral:rRNA from 1 species
UACGGAGGGGGCUAGCGUUGUUCGGAAUUACUGGGCGUAAAGCGCACGUAGGCGGCUUUGUAAGUUAGAGGUGAAAGCCCAGGGCUUAACCCUGGAAUUGCCUUUAAGACUGCAUCGCUAGAAUCGUGGAGAGGUGAGUGGAAUUCCGAGUGUAGAGGUGAAAUUCGUAGAUAUUCGGAAGAACACCAGUGGCGAAGGCGACUAACUGGACAUGUAUUGACGCUGAGGUGCGAAAGCGUGGGGAGCAAACAGG